UACGUAGGGGGCAAGCGUUGUCCGGAUUUAUUGGGCGUAAAGAGCGUGUAGGCGGCCAAGCAGGUCAGCUGUGAAAACUCGAGGCUCAACCUCGAGACGUCGGUUGAAACCGUUUGGCUAGAGUCCGGAAGAGGAGAGUGGAAUUCCCGGUGUAGCGGUGAAAUGCGCAGAUAUCGGAAGGAACACCAGUGGCGAAAGCGGCUUCCUGGUCCGACACCGACGUUCAGGCACGAAAGCGUGGGGAGCAAACAGG
rnacentral:rRNA from 1 species